rnacentral:lncRNA from 1 species
CUGUGAGUGUGAUAGCAGCGCCUCGGUGUCUUGCGCCUCUCCAGCCAUGUGUGUCAAUAAGCAUGUCUAAUGCUGGUGACAUCACGCUUCUAUUGGUGGUGUGACCUCCGUGGCCUAUGCGGGAGCCCCAGUGUCCCCACGCAAGGCAGUUGCCUUCCUUUAUUCUCUCAUCCUUCGCGACUGCGCAAGUCUGGCCCACUUCAGUGCGUUGAGCACCGCGUCCCAACCCUCCUGUCCUACAUGCUGGGAAAGUUGGACACUGUGUGCCAGGGCCUCGUGACAUCCAUGUGGUAGCGGUAGGCGAGCAGCAAGCAAGAUCGGUGAAGGGGAAAGGACUCGUGUCACAUUUGGCGAUUCCGAGCCAGGACUUUUGAGGACCGGACGCAACCAAAAUCAUGAUAUUUAGUCCGAAGCUUUCAAGAGUUCUCAAGGGCGGCACAGCUCACGCUACCCUCGGAUGCCACCAGAUGUGCGACUGCAGCAGCAGUUCGGACAGAGUGUGCCAGUGAUGCUCCCUGGGGACCUGUAUCGUGGCUACGGUGCACAGGAGGAGGCACGGAGAAGAGUGGGAGUGAGAAAAGGACGGAGCACGGCUGAGAGACCGGACUCGGAGCGGGCGAGCACAGCUGUCGAUGGCCACGGGCUCUCCUCCUCUCCUCCGCCAGCCCCUCUCCCUAUCUCCAGGCCUUCUGGGAGCAGGGCCGGGGCCAAGCAGGGAGCUGCGGAGUGGGCUGCCACGGCGGGCGGCUAUCCCCGCCGGCUACGUGCGCCUCGGCAUUGGGCGGCAGGAGAAAUCGAUACGGAAGGAGGGAGGCUGCUGGAGGUCGCUCAGCACGGCCCCCGGCCUGGGGAGCCUGAGGGGUGGUGGGGGGGUUCCGAGCCCACCGCUCCCUCUGCCUCCCCCACGCCAUCCCCGGUUCCAACCAGCGCACAACAGGACGGGGCUCAACCCUGCGCCGCUUUAUGCGUGUGGUACUGCCGCGGGGCCUUCCCAGACCCGCAGUGCCUGAUAAAAAGUUUGCCAGACAAUAAAUAA